GAUGAACGCUGGCGGCGUGCCUAAUACAUGCAAGUAGAACGCUGAAGGAGGAGCUUGCUCUUCUGGAUGAGUUGCGAACGGGUGAGUAACGCGUAGGUAACCUGCCUGGUAGCGGGGGAUAACUAUUGGAAACGAUAGCUAAUACCGCAUGACAACAGUUAUUGCAUGAUAACUGUUUAAAAGGGGCAACUGCUCCACUACCAGAUGGACCUGCGUUGUAUUAGCUAGUUGGUGAGGUAACGGCUCACCAAGGCGACGAUACAUAGCCGACCUGAGAGGGUGAUCGGCCACACUGGGACUGAGACACGGCCCAGACUCCUACGGGAGGCAGCAGUAGGGAAUCUUCGGCAAUGGACGGAAGUCUGACCGAGCAACGCCGCGUGAGUGAAGAAGGUUUUCGGAUCGUAAAGCUCUGUUGUAAGAGAAGAACGAGUGUGGGAGUGGAAAGUUCACACUGUGACGGUAUCUUACCAGAAAGGGACGGCUAACUACGU
rnacentral:rRNA from 1 species